rnacentral:siRNA from 1 species
UAAAAGUGAAUGACGUGGCUUGUG